rnacentral:lncRNA from 1 species
ACAGUCUCAGUUGCUGGGAAUCACACCCACUUCUCUGUGUCCCCUGUGACUGGACCCUCAGUCACACUCUGACAGCUUUAGUCCAGAGCCCCUGUCACCGGUGGCCCUGUCUUCUGCUCUACCUUUCACCUGGACCUCACUGCCUCUUGCUACCAAACUCAUCUGUCCCUACUAGCCACUCUCCUGGCUGGGCCCUGCUGAUAAAGGGGCCAUUACCUCCUUCCUUGAGAGGCUGCCAAGUGGCUAACACUGUGGUGGUUAUCUGUGAAGAAGCACUGGCUACUGGGGCUAUUUUUAAGGAGAGGGGACACUUCAGGAGGUGGAAAUGUUUCCUGUGGAAAUAAAUUUCCCCUUAUAAUGGUGACCCCUGCAUGACCCCUCUUUGUAUCCACAGGUUCAAGUACAGAGCCUGGCUUGGGGCUGGCGCUCAUGGGGACCACUCAGGGCAAGCCUGCUGAGCCCCCAGCCCCAGGGUCCCCCUCAUCCUCACAGCAGGGACCCACAGCCUCCACUGCUCCUUCUCAAGCACAGGGUACAACUUAGACAUUCAUGAAUGAGUGAAUGAACGAAUGAAUGAAUGAAUGAAUGAAUGAACGAACGAAUGAAUGGAUGGAGUUGGGAUUCCAUGUUGGGUUCCCAGCCUCUGAACUUUUUUGAAUUCUCGGAUGUCUGACUUGCCACUUUGUUACUCUGAUUGAUGUGUACCUCAAACCCGCACACCACUCCAGCUUCCUGCUGCUUCUGCAUCUGCUCAGAUCCAGUCCUGGGCUGGUGCCUGCAUUCCACUGCAUUGACAUUGCUUUUCAGGGCAGACUCAUGGUCACAGGGGAACCCUUAAGGCUUUCCUUAACUGCCCCAGCCUGGGAGGUUAAGGGUGAGUGUUGGGGGUGAUGGCAAGGAGAAUGGAAACCAACAAGAGACAGUCCCUGGGGCCCCCUAGCUCCUCUGACUCCUGGUAGGGCUCAGGACGCACUCUGAAUCCCACGGAGGCUCAUGGCGUCUCACCACAGCUGCCGGUGGUGGGCAGCUCUUGGGCAGCCCUAGUCAGAGCUGGCAGCUAUGGCCAAGUCUCUGCUGGAAUUCUCUGUCCCCUUGUCCUGGGGUUUCCCCUGUAGCCAUUGCCCUGCUGGGGUCUCAUGCAGCUCAACUCACACAUCCAGAGUUAGGCUGUCUUAGCUGUCCCCUCUUGGGACAGGGGUCCUGAGAUUGGCUUCAUGGGGCAAACACUGGCAUUGCCAGGGCAGUACACAAAAGCUCCCAUUCCUGCCAAGCCUGACCUAGGAGCCCUGAGCCUGAUAUCUCUCUGAUUUUCUAGGCAAAUGUACUGCUUCCUUGGAACCCAGCUCAUCCCUUUGUUUCUUCUGAGCUCCUUGGGUCACCUGUCAAUCUCCUUCUCUCUGGAGACCUCAUGCAAACAGGACUCCCUUCCUAAGGGCCCUAAGGAGUUUGCUUCUUUCCCUGAACCGCCCCAGC